rnacentral:rRNA from 1 species
CGGGACGGGUGAGUAACGCGUGAGCAACCUUUCCUUCACAGGGGGAGUAAGAUACCGAAAGGUGUUCUAAUACCGCAUGAGACCACAGAGCCACAUGGCUUAGGGGUCAAAGGAGGAAUCCGGUGAAGGGUGGGCUCGCGUCCGAUUAGCUAGUUGGUGAGGUGACGGCCCACCAAGGCGACGAUCGGUAGCCGACCUGAGAGGGUGAUCGGCCACAUUGGAACUGAGAGACGGUCCAA